UUUUGUUCUAGCAUCUCUGUCUCGAGCUUGAAGAGCUCAGAAAACAUGUUGAAAAUAUAACAGUGAAAAUAUUACACAUGACCAGACUCAGUGCAGAUGGGACGUCUGCCGUCAUUGAAAAGAAUAAAUGGUUGUGCUGAUCUGCUAGGGAAAGGUUUUGGGUGGGAAGUUAUUCAGAUCCCCCCCCUAUGUCAGACAUAAAGGGACUCCGGGUGCCAAAGAUGCAGGUUUCUUCUGUGCUUAAAAUCCCACUGGAACAUCAAGGAAAUUGGAGGCAUUCCAGGAGAGUUGUGUUUGUUUUUGUGAAAAUAAAUAGGGAUUUAAAAAAAUAGAUACAUAGAUAUAUCUAUUAAACCUUUGCUGGAUUGUUCAUCGUCUUUAAAAUUAGAAGCUUUCAGAAAGAUUUUGGAAGCCAAGAGAAACAGCGCGGGAGGGUUUGGAAGGGAAAGAAAGGAUUAGCUUUGCAAGCUGCUUGCCUGCCUUCCCAGCCAUGGCUGAGCGUGCCUGUAAUGAAAGCUUUCUCUCUGGUCUUGCUGUCUUUCUCAGCUCCUACAUUCAGACAAACAUUGGCUGAACCAUUAUAUCUUUCAUAAAUUUCAAGAGCUUCCACUCCAUUUUAAAGGUCAAACAAUGCUAAGUACUACAGUGGCGACCCUUCACUAUUAGACUUGUAGACUUGUCUCCGCAUUAGAAAAUCUUAUGCCACGAAAAGCCACUGUUUAAAUUGAGUGAACCUCUUACCACGUGAAAGUGCUGAUUUCCUUCUAUAGGGGGGAAUUCCUUUGAUUUUCCAUCCUAAAACAGUACUUGAAUAUACUGUAGGUUCAAUAACGACACUAAUUCAUCUCCUUUUGUUUUGAGAUUCUGCCUGGAAACCAUUUGAAGCCUUCUGAGCAUCAGUUCUCUGCAAAUGAAUGGAUCUCAAGUUGAGUCCUCAAAAAAUGGAAGGAGUCUCAGACUUUAACAUUCAACAUUCACUGAAACAACUGCGUGAAAACACCAUCCAAAUCUACAGUUUAUAGAAAACCAAAACCUUAGCCAUAAAUGAUCCACAGCCAAGUGUGAACAUCUAUCCUUCUGUUCCUGAAAAACAAGGAAGACAUCAGAAAAAAAACCCAACCAAAACACAAAACCCCACACUCUUUGGGUAACAGAUGUGAUGAGGAUGGUCUGAGGGCAGCUGAGCAAACGCCAGGUAGGAUCUGAUGGAUACAAACUAAAGCAGUCCUGGGAAACCUCGUCUUCUUUUCACUGCUUCAAUUCAAGUAGCAUCAGCCUCAGUGUAACAUCAGGACAAUUGAAUCCUUGUCCAAUCCCCUUGCUAAAGCAAGCUCCCCAGAGUCCAGAUGCUGCCUUCUUAGAACUCAGUUCUCAAUAGGACUACCUGUGAUUAGCAUAAUGACAUGAUCAAAAUAGGUUGAACUGUGAAAAUUAGAGGUACCAGCAGAGAGUUUAUGUACAUCCAAAGGAGAAGCGAAGGAGCCCACAUGUUUUUCCAUCUGAUCCCUUGCUUUCUGUAAGUUGCUGUACCCUUUUGAAGCGUGAAACCAUUUGAGAUGUGAUGGGAUGCUGCCAAGGGAAAGCGGUCUUCAGCAAAGUUUGCAUAUUUCUUGUCCAGUUGGAAAAUGCCACUGGUUUUGAAGCUGAUUGCAUGCUCUGUUUCUGCUCAGAGUCCUGGGGCAUGGACCCUUAUUUGGGACCAAAUACUCUAUAGUUACAAUGAGCUCUGUCCUGGUACAGGGGAGAACGUGUGAGGCCAUUUGCCAUGCAUGAGCAAGUACUCUAUAACCUCCAAAGCCCGUCACCAGGCUGGCCCUUCCGUGGUCGUAUGAACAGGGUAAUAGGUCUGGCUAUAAAGUGUGCAAACUUUUAUUUAUGAAGGUCAUACUUCCUCAGGGUAAGUGGAGUUUUGUUGGCUUCGUUGACUUUGUUUAGCAGACUAAUGCAUAACUGCUUUGUUGUUUGAGGUUUUUUUUGCUUUUUUUUUUUUUUCUUCAAGGAACAGCUACAGGGCAUGAGAUAAAAUUUGUAUAAUGGAAAUACCUCCUGCACUUCAUUAGCAUGUAUCUCAUUCAGCUCCAUCCUCUCUGGUUCAUGUUUCUCCUUCCUUGUCCUCCCAAGCCCCAGAGGGGCAAUGACCAUUAGAGGCCUGAACAGCACAACUACCAAGACAUUUUUUACUACUAAUUGCAGCAGGUGGAGUUUGUUUGCAGCAACCGAAAGCUGAGAGUUAAGGUUUGGUGGGUAUCCUCAGACCAAAUGUGUUAAUCCCACAGUAGCUAUCCCAACCCCACACCUUCUCCACUCCACAAAUAGCGCUUGGUCUAUGAAAACAAUAUUACGGUAACAGCAAUAAAGUAAGGUCACAGAAAUAUAACCCAACAGAAAGGAAAACAGCCAACUAUUUAGUAUUUCACACAUAAUCGUCUCUUUUCAGACUUACUGUUUACUAGCAUCAGUUCUCCCUCAUUAGCCAGAGCAACACUUAAUUGCUUUGUUUUAGAUUGUCUUUGUCUACACGCCCUUGAAUGCUGGUGUCAUUGCAGUAUUUGAGAACAGCUAAAUCUGCAGUAUAAAUAAACUCCAAAGAGAAAAUCCUGAAGCACCCAUAGGAAAGGAGUGCUUUAAAAUGUCCCCAGGCACGAGGUCUGACUUUUGCAGCAUUUUCUCAGCCUGGGUUACUCUGGCAAUAAUUUGAAGGAUUGCUCUUAAUGCUGUAAGAAGAAGAAGCUUGGGGACUCUUGGAAAGGAUGUUAUAAAAGAAUGCUGGGCCUCAUUAGGAGCAAAAACAAAGGCACGACUCCUUAAUCUGCAGUGAAUAAUAGGCCAGCUUUAAUAAUUUAUGCUCACAAAGGACCAAGUCAUAUUAUUUUCUAUGUCUUUAGAUUUGCUGAUGCAAAUUGUAUCAUGGUCUUUCUACAUUCACUCUACUUCCUUCCUCAGGACCACACUGAUUUUCUCAUUCUUACACUAACAUUUCUUGGUUAGCGGUUAGAUUUAGAAACCUCCAACUUAGUCUAGCUGAAAAACUUUUGUAAACAUUUCCCGCCUCUGGUAUUU